UGGGGAAUUUUGGACAAUGGGCGAAAGCCUGAUCCAGCAAUGCCGCGUGUGUGAAGAAGGCCUUCGGGUUGUAAAGCACUUUUGUCCGGAAAGAAAUCCUUGGCUCUAAUACAGUCGGGGGAUGACGGUACCGGAAGAAUAAGCACCGGCUAACUACGUGCCAGCAGCCGCGGUAAUACGUAGGGUGCAAGCGUUAAUCGGAAUUACUGGGCGUAAAGCGUGCGCAGGCGGUUUGCUAAGACCGAUGUGAAAUCCCCGGGCUCAACCUGGGAACUGCAUUGGUGACUGGCAGGCUAGAGUAUGGCAGAGGGGGGUAGAAUUCCACGUGUAGCAGUGAAAUGCGUAGAGAUGUGGAGGAAUACCGAUGGCGAAGGCAGCCCCCUGGGCCAAUACUGACGCUCAUGCACGAAAGCGUGGGGGAGCAAAACAGGAUUAGAUACCCUGGUAGUCCACGCCCUAAACGAUGUCAACUAGUUGUUGGGGAUUCAUUUCCUUAGUAACGUAGCUAACGCGUGAAGUUGACCGCCUGGGGGAGUACGGUCGCAAGAUUAAAA
rnacentral:rRNA from 1 species